UUAUUUUGGCAGAUUAGUGCUAUGAAUUUAGAAUUCAUAUAUGUGAUUUUAUUACAAAUAAUA
rnacentral:tRNA from 1 species